GACGAACGCUGGCGGCGUGCUUAACACAUGCAAGUCGAACGGAAAGGCCCUGCUUUUGUGGGGUGCUCGAGUGGCGAACGGGUGAGUAACACGUGAGUAACCUGCCCUUGACUUUGGGAUAACUUCAGGAAACUGGGGCUAAUACCGGAUAGGAGCUCCUGCUGCAUGGGGGGGGUUGGAAAGUUUCGGCGGUUGGGGAUGGACUGGAGGCUUAUCAGCUUGUUGGUGGGGUAGUGGAUUACCAAGGCUUUGACGGGUAGCCGGCCUGAGAGGGUGGCCGGCCACCUUGGGCCUGCGAUACGGCCCAGACUCCUACGGGCGGCAGCAGUCGGGAAUUUUGCACAGUGGGCGGACGCCUGAUGCAGAAACGCCGCGUGCGGGAUGACGGCCUUCUGGUUGUAAACAGCUUUCGCCUGUGACGAAGCGUGAGUGACGGUAACGGGUAAAGAAGCACCGGCUAACUACGUG
rnacentral:rRNA from 1 species